AGACAGGUGCAGGUUGGCGGGCACGGCGGCCGAGCGCACGGCGAUGCCGUCCUCGUGAUGGAUGUCCAGGUGCUGAGCUAUGUCCAGCGCGGUGGACAGCGUGGCCGUGGCGGACCUGGUGGGUUCCAUCCGUUAUGUGGCGUACGUACCUGACAGGAUCCUCAUGAUGGCUUCCUCCUGACCAGCCCUGAAGGAGCUGUAGCCCAGUUCCUGGAGAGCAGUGAAGACCUCGUCUGGUGUUGCUGAACACAAAAAGGCCAACAAAGUUGAGUCCACCUUUUUUUUUUCCCCAUCGGAAUGAAGCUUUUGUUCAUGUACUUUGAACUUUGCCCUCGUCCGUGAGGCCGUACAGCGGCUCCAUGGGCGGCGGAGGCGGCGGCCGCUCGUAGUCGGGUCGAAUCACGUUCAGCAGAGCUUCGUCUUUGUUGUCCGUGUCCUGCUGUUCCUGCUGCGCCUCUUGGGCGCCACGACAUGCACACGCAGUUGAAAGUCCAAAUGCACCAGUCGCUCGGACUGCAUCGGGAAGGCCUACCUGGCUGGGCUUGCAGGGUUCCUGUCGCCCUGGCAACCUCCUCCAAGGUGGGGAGCUCAAAGGGCUCCUCCUCAGCAGGCGUGUCCGCAACAACAGGAGGGGGCGGAGCUGCGAGACACAUGGCCAGAGCGGUGUCAACAUUUCAUCGCGCGCGCGCUCGAACUCUCCUCCCGGCCGCUCACCCGGUCCCUUGCAGUGGAUGGCCCAGUGUCCGGUGGCCCCGCACUUGUAGCAGGUGUCGCUCGGGCGGCUGUGGCCUCCCCUGAAGCCGCCCCUCCUGCCUCGGCCAAAAUGGCCACCGCCUCCGCCGAAACGUUCGCCUUUCAGCUGGAACUUCUGCAUGUACAGCUGGAAGGGGGGGGGUGAUGCAAACAUGUUGGGGUGACGCCUUUUCUUCACCUUACUAACGAAUCUGACAGUUGGAUGCUUUGACGUUGCAGCAUGGCAACAUGGCGCCUGACGCCAUGUUCAACCUUUCUCUUUACAUCGUGCUUACAUUUAAUGUGCCCCUCCCUCGUAAUUGAUGCAUUUGGAAUGGUCUGUUCCACAUGGAGAUACACGCGUUCGGGCUUAGCUAACCCUAACUAGCACGAUGUGGCGGUCACACGCCAUCACGUCUCGUCAAAGCAACACUAACUUGUUUGCGUAGGGCAAGUCCUCUUAGUGCGUAUCCUUUGACGUGAGAUUUCUUCUUCAGGUUUAUCUUCACAAAGUUGCCCUCUGAAGCAGCGUUGCCUCUGCAAGGCAAAUAUGGAUGUUUUAUUUAGGAUGAUGUCUAACUUGGAUCAGGUGUGUCCUACCUGGCUCUGGCAGACUGUCCGUGAUACGAUCUCUUCGCCACAUAUUCUUCCUCCAUUUCUCCUAACAGAUUCUCCUGAGGCGCCUUGGGAGGAGAACAAGGAAGUGCAUGAAAGCGCACGGAGAAGGAUGUGAUUGGGGGUCCGUGCUUACCUUCUUUGGGAUCUUAGCUUCUUCCUCUGCGUCAUCGGUGUCAUCUUUGCCCUUUUUCUUGCUCCUCUUGGUUCUUGUCUUCCCGUUCCCUUCGUCAGCAUUCCCGGCCCACCGCUCCUCAUUCUUUUUAGCAUUUCUUCUUCUCUUUUUGACUCCUUCCUCUCCUUGUGUCAUCUCUCCUUCCCUUUGUCUCUUCCUGCUCUUCUUAGCACACGUGGACGGAGGAGGAUCAUCUGGUGUUGAAGGUGGUGUCACGUGUGCCUCGGUCUUGCUUUCCUGUUUUUUAGUGAAAUGUUGAUCAGGAGUUUUACUCUCAUCUCUCUCCAGUGUCUUUUCUUCUACAAGUAGAUCUUUUCCCACUACGUCUUUCCCAUCCUUCUUUCCCACUAGCAGAUCUCUCUCCUGGUUGCCAGCUCCAGGUCUCUCCUCAGCUCCCAUCUCUCCAAACACCUGACACCUCUCCAGCCACUUCUUGUCGACAGAGCUCAGCCUGCUGGCAGGGGAAGGCCUCGGACCCGCAGCCAUUCCCACUCGGAAUCCUCCGAGAGGGCGCGGGGUGUCACUUGACGCGGGCCAAGUGCCGACAGCUGCGCCGCCGAGGUCUCCACGUGAAGACCCCGAGUCUUCUCCGGUGUCUGCAGAAGAAGCCUCCACGUCUUUGCUGGCACCCGUCCUGCUGCGAUCGUUUCCUGGGUUAGAACCGAGCGGCUCCUGGGCAGCUUCAAAGGGCUCUUCAGGCUCCAACGCUUGGAGCUGACUGGAAACCAGUGCUCCCAGGCCAGGCUUCACCUGUCUACUGUAUGGAGCAGAAGAUACACAACCAAAAAGGACUAAGGAGGAAACAAACCUGUUGAUCUUCUCGUUCUGGGAGUGAGCGCCGUCGUCGGAGGACCCGACGGGAAGGAGCAUGACAUUGCGUCCUGUGGCCUCCUGGAAGGUCAGCGUGACGGGGAUGCUUCCGCCCUCGCGCGUCAGGUCCGGUUCCACGCCAAAGACUAAAGACGACGAUAGCAGAAAAGGUACUCGUUGAACAAUACGUGUACUUUUGCCCAUCGGUCCUGAUGUGAGACAUGAACACUUGGCUUUCCCUGUG